rnacentral:rRNA from 1 species
AACUGCAAGUCGAACGGCAGCACGGGCUUCGGCCUGGUGGCGAGUGGCGAACGGGUGAGUAAUACAUCGGAACGUACCCAGAAGUGGGGGAUAACGCAGCGAAAGUUGCGCUAAUACCGCAUACGUUCUACGGAAGAAAGUGGGGGAUCUUCGGACCUCAUGCUUUUGGAGCGGCCGAUGUCUGAUUAGCUAGUUGGUGGGGUAAAGGCCUACCAAGGCGACGAUCAGUAGCUGGUCUGAGAGGACGACCAGCCACACUGGAACUGAGACACGGUCCAGACUCCUACGGGAGGCAGCAGUGGGGAAUUUUGGACAAUGGGCGCAAGCCUGAUCCAGCAAUGCCGCGUGAGUGAAGAAGGCCUUCGGGUUGUAAAGCUCUUUUGUCAGGGAAGAAACGGUUGGGGCUAAUAUCCGGGGCUAAUGACGGUACCUGAAGAAUAAGCACCGGCUAACUACGUGCCAGCAGCCGCGGUAAUACGUAGGGUGCAAGCGUUAAUCGGAAUUACUGGGCGUAAAGCGUGCGCAGGCGGUUUUGUAAGUCUGUCGUGAAAGCCCCGGGCUCAACCUGGGAAUUGCGAUGGAGACUGCAAGGCUUGAAUCUGGCAGAGGGGGGUAGAAUUCCACGUGUAGCAGUGAAAUGCGUAGAGAUGUGGAGGAACACCGAUGGCGAAGGCAGCCCCCUGGGUCAAGAUUGACGCUCAUGCACGAAAGCGUGGGGAGCAAACAGGAUUAGAUACCCUGGUAGUCCACGCCCUAAACGAUGUCUACUAGUUGUCGGGUUUUAAUUAACUUGGUAACGCAGCUAACGCGUGAAGUAGACCGCCUGGGGAGUACGGUCGCAAGAUUAAAACUCAAGAAA